AGGUGAGAGAGCGAAAGUGGAGCUUGAUCUUUGGGCUUGUGGAAAGUGGACAGAUCUUAAGUGUGCCAUUUCAUAGGAGGAAACGAGAGUGACCCUGUUCCACCUGCUGCUUGGAUCAUGGUCUCACCCACACUUACAGGGAUGAUGAGAUUAUACAGGGCAUGUACUCCAGAGGGUGGAAAUGUUGGAGGCCAUCUUAGAAUCCUGCCUACCACAAUAUGCCUCUUUGUGAAAGAAAAUGAUGGGAAGGUCCGUUAUCUCUCUUCAGAGUUGCAACCAUUGAGACGACAAGCACAGCUACUCAUUGUGGUUCUGGAUCCCCUCCUCUUCCUGCUACCUCUGUGUGUAGUCUUUUUCCAGAACCUAGGAGAGCAACACCUCCUAUAACCACUCAGUUAUGAGAAACA